rnacentral:rRNA from 1 species
CCUACGGGCGGCAGCAGUGAGGAAUAUUGGUCAAUGGACGAGAGUCUGAACCAGCCAAGUAGCGUGAAGGAUGACUGCCCUAUGGGUUGUAAACUUCUUUUAUAUGGGAAUAAAAUGUUCCACGUGUGGGAUUUUGUAUGUACCAUAUGAAUAAGGAUCGGCUAACUCCGUGCCAGCAGCCGCGGUAAUACGGAGGAUCCGAGCGUUAUCCGGAUUUAUUGGGUUUAAAGGGAGCGUAGGUGGAUUGUUAAGUCAGUUGUGAAAGUUUGCGGCUCAACCGUAAAAUUGCAGUUGAAACUGGCAGUCGUGAGUACAGUAGCGGUGGGCGGAAUUCGUGGUGUAGCGGUGAAAUGCUUAGAUAUCACGAAGAACUCCGAUUGCGAAGGCAGCUCACUGGACUGCAACUGACACUGAGGCUCGAAAGUGUGGGUAUCAAACAGGAUUAGAUACCCCAGUAGUC